GACGAACGCUGGCGGCGUGCUUAACACAUGCAAGUCGAACGAUGACGACCGAGCUUGCUCGGUCUGAUUAGUGGCGAACGGGUGAGUAACACGUGAGCAACCUGCCCUUCACUCUGGGAUGACCUCGGGAAAUCGGGGCUAAUACCGGAUAUGAGCUCCUGUCGCAUGGCGGGUGUUGGAAAGUUUUUCGGUGAAGGAUGGGCUCGCGGCCUAUCAGUUUGUUGGUGAGGUAGUGGCUCACCAAGGCGAUGACGGGUAGCCGGCCUGAGAGGGCGACCGGCCACACUGGGACUGAGACACGGCCCAGACUCCUACGGGAGGCAGCAGUGGGGAAUAUUGCACAAUGGGCGAAAGCCUGAUGCAGCGACGCCGCGUGAGGGAUGACGGCCUUCGGGUUGUAAACCUCUUUCAGCAGGGAAGAAGCGAAAGUGACGGUACCUGCAAAAGAAGCGCCGGCUAACUACGUG
rnacentral:rRNA from 1 species